GCGAUGAAAAGCCCAAUUGGUGCUCGUUGUUUGAGGGAGCGUGAGAGCAAGGUCGUGAUGACAAUGGCCAUGGCGAAUUCCCUUUCAUCUGGUUUCAACUCCAUGAAAGUUUGGAAAGCGAUUGGACAUCCGAAAUGUUACGAGCCCAAAUUUAUCUCGAGCUUGGGUUUUGGAAAUUCUCGGGCUUUCAGGACUAAGUGUGACUACUCCUGCUUCGAAGUUAGGGAAGUUAGCUACCGACCCCCAGGGACUGAGCUCAGCCUGCUAAAUGCUGUUACUUUUUCCCUUCCAGAGAAGAGCUUCGGCUUAAUUUUUGGACAGAGUGGUAGUGGAAAGACUACUCUCUUGCAGCUUCUUGCAGGGCUAAGCAGACCAACUUCAGGUUCCAUUACCAUUCAAAGAUAUGGAAAUGAUGGCAAUCCAAAUCAAUCUCCUGAACCCUUACCCUCAGAAAGAGUAGGCAUUGUCUUUCAGUUUCCUGAAAGGUAUUUUGUGGCUGAUAACGUGCUUGAUGAAGUUACCUUUGGGUGGCCAAGGCAAAAGAGUGACAUAAAAAUGAAGGAGCAUCUUGCUUUGAGACUUCAACGAGCAAUUAAUUGGGUCGGUUUAAAUGGUAUCUUACUGGAUAAAGAUCCCCACUCACUCAGUGGUGGCUACAAACGUCGUCUUGCUUUGGCAAUUCAGUUAGUGCAAAUCCCAGAUUUAUUGAUAUUGGAUGAACCUCUUGCUGGUCUUGAUUGGAAGGCACGAGCAGAUGUCGUGAAGCUUUUGAAGCAUCUAAAGAAAGAGUUAACCAUACUUGUUGUUAGCCAUGACCUCAAAGAGUUAGCACCUCUAGUUGAUCGAUCUUGGAGAAUGGAAAUGGGUGGAAUUCUUAGGGAAGAGCCGUUACCAGUUCAAUUUCACGAAUUUGGUUUUGUCCCUUCCAAAUCUGACGCUCCAUGAGGUUUCUUUUUGGUUGGGUCAGAACCACUCGGGUAGCCACAAGCAAAAGGAGUAGAGUGCUUUGACAAGGCAUGAAUUUGACAUUUACCAGCUACAGAAGUUUGCAUUCUCAACUGCCUUGAUUUCCAUGUUGAGAGUCUUUUCGACUGAGGAGCCGCCAGGACAUGGAUGCUGGCAAUUAAAUGUAGCAUACCCCACAGGCAUCUUUGCAAAUUGCGUGAACUUUUAGUUGGAGAAAGCUGUGGUAAGCUUAGAGACAAAAGCCACACAAUUCUUUUGUCAAAGAGACCCUUUACAUGAGGCCCCUCUGGAUACAUUCUGGAAGGCAAUUGAAGUACAGAGAAAGUAAAUAAAGCACUUUUAGGUAAGAGGAUACAUAUAGUACGUGGUUUGCAUAUAAAUUCACAACUGUGCACGUCAUCUUUGUGAUUUUAAAUCUAAAGCAUUACUUAGUGAUUGAACUGUUCCCGUCUAACAGGAUUGGAACACAUGAAAUGCACAUUUAUGAAUGUUAUUCAGGUUUGGGUUAUAAAAAAAAAGUUCUGGAUUCCAAAUUCAAUCAUGUAAAAACCUUACAAAUUUCAAACAGUUCUCUCCAAAGUGAACAGUUGCUGGUGACAAUAAAUAUUUUCGCUUAUUCCUAUUUGCACAUGUUGCAAAUGA